UAUGUAUGCAUGUAUGUAUGUAUGCAUGUAUGUAUGUAUGUAUGCAUGUAUGUAUGUCAUACAUACAUACAUACAUACAUACAUACAUACAUA
rnacentral:pre_miRNA from 1 species